AGAGUUUGAUCCUGGCUCAGCCUGAACGCUGGCGGCGUGGCUAAGACAUGCAAGUCGCACGGGGUAGCAAUACCCAGUGGCGAACGGGUGAGUAAUGAAUCGCUAAUGUACCCCGGACUCUGGGAUAGCUGCCCGAAAGGGCAGGUAAUACCAGAUGAGACCACGAUCAGGCAUCUGAUUGUGCUCAAAGGUCCGCCGGUCUGGGAGCAGGCGAUUUCGUAUCAGCUAGUUGGUGAGGUAACGGCUCACCAAGGCGACGACGCGUAGCCGGACUGAGAGGUUGGCCGGCCACAUUGGGACUGAGACACUGCCCAGACUCCUACGGGGGGCUGCAGUAACGAAUCUUCCGCAAUGCACGAAAGUGUGACGGAGCGACGCCGCGUGUAGGACGAAGCCCUUCGGGGUGUAAACUACUGUCAGGGGUUAGAAAGUUCUGAUCAACCCCAGAGGAAGGCACGGCUAACUCUGUGCCAGCAGCCGCGGUAAGACAGAGGUGCCAAGCGUUAGGCGGAAUCACUGGGCUUAAAGCGUGUGUAGGCGGAUUUGUAAGUACCUUGUGAAAUCCCACGGCUCAACCGUGGAACUGCUCGGUAUACUGCUUAUCUUGAGCCACUUAGGGGCUACCGGAACAAAUGGUGGAGCGGUGAAAUGCGUAGAUAUCAUUUGGAACGCCAAUGGUGAAAACAGGUAGCUGGGAGUGUGCUGACGCUGAGACACGAAAGCCAGGGGAGCGAACGGGAUUAGAUACCCCAGUAGUCC
rnacentral:rRNA from 1 species